GACGAACGCUGGCGGCGUGCUUAACACAUGCAAGUCGAACGGUGAAGGGGUCUGCUUUUGUGGGCCCUAGAUGAGUGGCGAACGGGUGAGUAACACGUGAGUAACCUGCCCCCUUCUUCUGGAUAACCGCAUGAAAGUGUGGCUAAUACGGGAUAUUCUGGGUCUGUCGCAUGAUGGGUCUGGGAAAGAUUGCGCCUUUGGGUGUUUUUGGUGGGGGAUGGGCUCGCGGCCUAUCAGCUUGUUGGUGGGGUGAUGGCCUACCAAGGCGGUGACGGGUAGCCGGCCUGAGAGGGUGGACGGUCACACUGGGACUGAGACACGGCCCAGACUCCUACGGGAGGCAGCAGUGGGGAAUAUUGCACAAUGGGCGCAAGCCUGAUGCAGCGACGCCGCGUGAGGGAUGGAGGCCUUCGGGUUGUAAACCUCUUUCGCCAGUGAAGCAGGCCUGCUCCGUGUGGGUGGGUUGACGGUAGCUGGAUAAGAAGCGCCGGCUAACUACGUG
rnacentral:rRNA from 1 species